AGCUCCAAUAGCGUAUAUUAAAGUUGUUGCAGUUAAAAAGCUCGUAGUUGAACUUCGGGCCUGGCAGCGGGGUCCCUCCGGGGUACUCUGACGCCUGGCCUUUCCUUCUGGCGAGCCGGCGUGUUAUUCAGUUAAUGCGUCGGGGAACCAGGACUUUUACUUUGAAAAAAUUAGAGUGUUUAAAGCAGGCUUACGCUUGAAUACAUUAGCAUGGAAUAAUAAAAUAGGACUUUGGUUUUAUUUUGUUGGUUUUCGAAACCGAAGUAAUGAUUAAUAGGGAUAGUUGGGGGCAUUCGUAUUUAGCCGUCAGAGGUGAAAUUCUUGGAUUGGCUAAAGACGAACUUCUGCGAAAGCAUUUGCCAAGGAUGUUUUCA
rnacentral:rRNA from 1 species